rnacentral:rRNA from 1 species
GCGCACGGGUGAGUAACGCGUGGGUAAUCUGCCUUCGAGACUGGGACAACCCCGGGAAACUGGAGCUAAUACCAGAUAAGACCACGAGGCCUUCGGGUCAUGUGGGAAAAGGGUGGCCUCUCCUUGGAAGCUACCGCUCGGAGAUGAGCCUCGUCGCAUUAGCUUGUUGGUGAGGUAACGGCUCACCAAGGCUACGAUGCGUAGCUGGUCUGAGAGGACGAUCAGCCACACUGGAACUGAGACACGGUCCAGACUCCUAGGGGAGGCAGCAGUCGGGAAUAUUGGUCAAUGGGCGCAAGCCUGAACCAGCAACUCCGCGUGAGGGAUGAAGGCCUUCGGGUCGUAAACCUCUGUCAGAAGGGAAGAAAAUGGCCGAGUCCAAUAGGCUCGGUUACUGACGGUACCUUCAAAGGAAGCACCGGCUAACUCCGUGCCAGCAGCCGCGGUAAUACGGAGGGUGCAAGCGUUGUUCGGAAUUAUUGGGCGUAAAGCGGGUGUAGGCGGCUUUGCAAGUCGGGUGUGAAAUCCCUGGGCCCAACCCAGGAACUGCACUCGAUACUGCAUCGCUAGAGUCCCGGAGAGGAUGGCGGAAAUUCCAGGUGUAGAGGUGAAAUUCGUAGAUAUCUGGAGGAACACCAGUGGCGAAGGCGGCCAUCUGGACGGUGACUGACGCUCAGACCCGAAAGCGUGGGGAGCAAACAGGAUUAGA